rnacentral:piRNA from 1 species
UCGCUUCUGUUGCCUCCGGACUGGAUUC